CAGUCGCCGCGGUAAAACGGAGGGGGCUAGCGUUGUUCGGAAUUACUGGGCGUAAAGCGCACGUAGGCGGCUUGGUAAGUUAGAGGUGAGAGCCUGGAGCUCAACUCCAGAAUUGCCUUUAAGACUGCCGAGCUAGCAGGUGAGAGAGGUAAGUGGAAUUCCGAGUGUAGAGGUGAAAUUCGUAGAUAUUCGGAAGAACACCAGUGGCGAAGGCGGCUUACUGGCUCAUACUGGACGCUGAGGUGCGAAAGCGUGGGGAGCAAACAGGAUUAGAUACCCCCGUAGUCCCUGUCUCUUAUAC
rnacentral:rRNA from 1 species